rnacentral:ncRNA from 1 species
UUCAUCAAGAGCAGCUGAGGGACUGGCCCGGUGACGCUGCGGCAACCUGCUAUUACAGAAAGGUGCCAAUUCCAACGGAAGGUUCCGGCAGAUGA